rnacentral:lncRNA from 1 species
GAGACAUCUGUUGUUCGAAGACACUAAAUCUGGAUGCCAUGUAAUCCUUAACCAUUUCAAGAAUGUGACUGUAAGAUUUGUUCCAUUCAAAAAAAUGAAUACUCCACUUUGUGGAUCCAAGAAAUGAUCUUCCACAACAAUGGAAUCUGUAAAACCUCCCUGGCACUAGCUUCAACACACAAAUGCAAAGAGGAAAUAUCAAAGAGGUCUUCAAGAGCAGCAGUAGGAACAGUCUUCAUAGUUUGUGAUGCUCAGAUCAACCAACUUUUGAAACUUUUCAAGUUUGAUCCUACAAGUCUUUUAACAAAGCUCUUUAACCAUGAAAUAAUGACAGCUUAGGUAAUAAUGGGUCUCACAACCAUAGUAUAUAUCCAGUAUAGUAUAUAUGAACUUAAUUAUCAUUCUAUGAGAUUUUUUCAAAGUCUGUAUACUAGCACUUCUGAAAAUUUAUUAAAAUACAUUAAAUAAAAAGUAGUAAUGACUAAACAGC